AUUGAACGCUGGCGGCAUGCCUUACACAUGCAAGUCGAACGGCAGCACGGGAGCAAUCCUGGUGGCGAGUGGCGAACGGGUGAGUAAAGUAUCGGAACGUGCCCAGUCGUGGGGGAUAACGUAGCGAAAGUUACGCUAAUACCGCAUACGAUCAAUGGAUGAAAGCGGGGGAUCGCAAGACCUCGCGCGAUUGGAGCGGCCGAUAUCAGAUUAGGUAGUUGGUGGGGUAAAGGCUCACCAAGCCGACGAUCUGUAGCUGGUCUGAGAGGACGACCAGCCACACUGGGAUUGAGACACGGCCCAGACUCCUACGGGAGGCAGCAGUGGGGAAUUUUGGACAAUGGGCGCAAGCCUGAUCCAGCCAUGCCGCGUGCAGGAUGAAGGCCUUCGGGUUGUAAACUGCUUUUGUACGGUACGAAAAGGUUUGGCCUAAUAAGCUGAGCUCAUGACGGUACCGUAAGAAUAAGCACCGGCUAACUACGUGCCAGCCGCCGCCGUAA
rnacentral:rRNA from 1 species